ensembl:miRNA microRNA 222
GACGUCCAUCCUUCGCUCAGUGGUCAGUGUAGGUCCUGUCUCCGCCAGCAGCUACAUCUGGCUACUGGGUCUCUGAUGGCCGUC